AGCGAACGCUGGCGGCAGGCCUAACACAUGCAAGUCGAGCGCCCAGCAAUGGGAGCGGCAGACGGGAUAGUAACACGUGGGAACGUACCUUUCAGUUCGGAACAACCCAGGGAAACUUGGGCUAAUACCGAAUACGUCCGUAAGGAGAAAGAUUUAUCGCUGAAAGAUCGGCCCGCGUCUGAUUAGCUAGUUGGUGAGGUAAUGGCUCACCAAGGCGACGAUCAGUAGCNGGUCUGAGAGGAUGAUCAGCAUCACUGGGACUGAGACACGGCCCAGACUCCUACGGGGAGGCAGCAGGU
rnacentral:rRNA from 1 species